CUACUGGCAUCGAGAGGUGCCGGGAUGGAUUGCCAGAAGUCAGCAGAGGUCAUAGUGUGCGCUGAGCAGCGCGUUGUUCAGGAGGGU
rfam:Syntrophobacteraceae bacterium CG2_30_61_12 cg2_3.0_scaffold_11547_c, whole genome shotgun sequence.